rnacentral:snoRNA from 10 species
GGGGUGUGCUCAGAGCAGGGGGCUGAAGAAUGGCUCCUCUGUUUAUAACACAUGGAACAGGCAUCUGAGGUCACUGUGACAAGGGGCACAAAACUUGUGACUCCCUAAGAACAAAUGUCCUACAAGU